AGGGCACCACCAGGAGUGGAGCCUGCGGCUUAAUUUGACUCAACACGGGAAAACUUACCCGGCCCGGACACUGUGAGGACUGACAGGUUGAGAGCCCUUUCUCGAUCCGGUGGGUGGUGGUGCAUGGCCGUUCUUAGUUGGUGGAGCGAUUUGUCUGGUUAAUUCCGAUAACGAACGAGACUCUAGCCUGCUAAAUAGCCAACUGAUCCGCAGCGUCGGUUGCUUAUAAUGCUUCUUAGAGGGACAGGCGGCUUCCAGUCGCACGAGAUUGAGCAAUAACGGGUCUGUGAUGCCCUUAGAUGUCCGGGGCCGCACGCGCGCUACACUGAAGGAAUCAACGUGCAUUCUUACCUUGGCCGGAAGGCCUGGGGAAUCCGAUGAAACUCCUUCGUGAUUGGGAUUGAGCUUUGUAAUUAUCGCUCAUGAACGAGGAAUUCCCAGUAAGCGCGAGUCAUAAGCUCGCGUUGAUUACGUCCCUGCCCUUUGUACACACCGCCCGUCGCUACUACCGAUUGAAUG
rnacentral:rRNA from 1 species